AUCAGUGGCUCUUCAGGUUGCCAUGUAGAAAGCAGCUUUGCUGGCUGCCACUUUCGAUCAAGGGCUAAACUCUGAGGGUGACAUGCCACUAAGGAGCUGAACGGAGCCUGAGUCCUUGUAGCAGAGGCUGGUCUCCAGUCCUGUCUGUUCUUCUUCUUGGGCACACAGCUAGGCUACAUUCCCUAGCCUUCCUUGGAGCUUAGAAUAAUUCCUAGCCAAUAGCAUUUGAGUAUAAUUGAGUGGGCCACCUCCAGAUGUGGCCCAUUACAAGUCACAUUCUCUGCCUCCAACCCAGGUUACUUCAGGUAAUAAUCCUUCUGCCUAGAAAGGUUGGGCACCCUGAUAUGCACAAAUCUGCAUUAACUUCACAGAUGACUCAAUUAGCAGGUGAUGACUUACUGGCAGUGUUCAUUACGGUGGCCUUUCUAGUUGUCAUCUUCCCAGAUGACAUUUUUAGAAUUUCAUCUCUACACUUUCCAAAAACACUACUUGACACCUGUGGGUUUUAAAAUGAAAUAACCUCAGAUAUGAAAUAACCUUUCCCCAAUCCAUUCAUUGUAGUUGGAAGCUGGUCUUACUAAUGGCAGGGUGACCGUAACACUUGGUUAUGAACCAGGGUAUUGCCUCCAACCAAGCCUUAACAAUCUCAUCCUCCCUUUAGCCUUCCAUGAUUAGACCUCAACUCAUGAGAACUCUUGCCUUGCUCACAAGUGGGAGUAAAUGCUCAUAGCUCUAGAAAUCUCCCAGGAACCAGACAUCACGGAAACUAGAAAGGCUAAGGGAGUCCAAUCUUCCUCUAAAUUGGCCAACAGUAGAGUGGUGGAAAGAGAACAAGCUGCAAACCAGACAGACCCAAGCUUGAAUCUCACCUCUGCCAAGCUACCAGAAUGAUGGGAUGCCAGCCGCUGGCUGCCCCCAAGAAACUUGGGAGCAGGACAGGCUUGGCUGUCCCAGAGGAAGAGCCUGGCAUUGGGCCAGGAGGCUCAGGAGGGAAGAUGAGCUCAUUCUGCCCAGCUCGGUUCUCCCGUAUGCAGACCAGGUCAUCACAGGGACCUGCCUCCACAUUUGCAUCCCCCACGGCAUAUUUUCCCAGCACAUGCAGCAUUGGGAACUUGAACGUCCCUCUGCUUUUCCUUGGUGAGACCCACCAGCCCCGCCUUAGGAAGGAGGCUGAACAUUUGACGGAGCUUUCCUGUCACCUGUGAGCGACGUGCACGCUGCUUCCGAAGAAAGAGACAUCCCCCUACUGUUUUCUCACAGUGGGAUGAUUCAACUUUUUCUUUCUCACAAUCCCAGAUAAUCAUAUCUUCCCAGGUUUUGUCAUCUUUGAGGACUACUCACUAUCUAGUUAUGAGUCAAACAAAACCCAAUUUAACUGAUAACUAACCAGCCAUCACGUAUCCCUGAAGAUAAACCUGGUUUAUCCUUUUUAUACCCUCUGGCAGAGCAAAGGAACAAGGAGUUUGGGAGAGAAAAAAAAACACAACACUAGAAACAGCACUGACACAGGUCGUUAAAUACAGAUGUGACCAGCCUUGAUUACAAGUGUUGUCAUCCUCUUUUAACAGGGACCUACCCCGAACUUUCAUGAACCCCUGGUAGCUGAAUAGCAGCUUGUCUAAGCGAGGUGCAGGGAUUUUGUCAAAGUCGGCCUCGGUGUUAAAGGCAGGGCCACCUACCAUGAACUUCUCUCUGUGACUUUAUUCUUUAGCAGUGCUCAAGUGUAAAUAAACUUGUUUACCAGGAUCAGAAUGGCCAUGUUAAUGAAGUCUUAUUUGUGUCACCACAAUGACAAGUAAUUUGUGCACAGCUGGACUCGGAGAGGGGACAAAACCAGAGAAAUUGUAUUUCUGUUCUGAAGUUUCCAUACAGAUGCCUUAGGCCAAAGUUAGUACAGCCAAUAUUUGCCUGUUUCUUUGGAUUGUGUGUCCAUGCUGGAGAAAAGCCUUGUUACUGUGCCCAGUGUGGUAAACGAAAUUAUAUGUACGCAGUGAGAAGAAAAAUGAAAUAAGAAGCACUGAUGAAUGUACCCACGGGUGUGACCUUGGGGGCCAGUGUGUGGUUUUUAUGAAAUGAACGCAUGAAUACGAGGACCCUAAUUAUUGCUUUCAACGGACAAAGUAUGGUGAAUAUAUAGAGAACGUUGCUGUACAACACUGGCUGUGUCUCAAAGCGGCUUUAGAAGUAAAUAUAGAAAUUCUUUGGUACAUGGUAUUGCAUAGAAAAGUCAUUAAGAAAAAAGCAAGACAAUUUGUUAAGACCUUGUUAAGUGGAGCUGGGGGAUGAUUAAUUUUGUUUGUUUGUUUUUGUUGUUCCCUGGUAGAGCUCAACAAACUACAGACCACGGGCCAAAUCUGACCCACCGCUGCUUUUGUAAAUAAAACUUUAUUGGAAAAAAGCCACAUUUGUGUAUGUGUUGUCUGUGGCUGCUUUUGUGCUACCGAGACAGAGGCAAGAAAGGAGAGAAAAAGAGGCAUGGAGCAGGUAUAUUACGGGUUGAAUUGAGUUCACCAAAAAGAUAUGUUGAAAUCCAAAGCCCCAGUGUCUGUGAAAGUUACCUUAUUUGGAAAUAAGGUCUUUGCCAAUGUAAAGAUAAAGUCAUGCUGAAUUAAGGUGAGCCCUAACCUAAUAUGGCUGGUGUCCUUAUAAGAAGAGAAGAGACAGACAAAGGGAAGGAGUCCAUGUGACCACAGGGCCAGUGGAAGUGAUGCAACUGCCUGCCAAGUGCACCAAGGAUGGGUGGCCACCAGCAGAAGCUCGGAAGAUGCAAGGAAGGAUUCUAUCCAGAGUUACAGAGGGAGCAUGGCCCAGCUGACACCUUGAUUUCAAACCUGUAGCCUCAAGAAAUGUGGAUAAUGACCUUCUGUCAUUUUAAGCCACCCCGUCUGCAACACUUUCUUAUGGCAAUGUGAUGGGUAAGCUUAUGUGUCAAUGUGACUGAGCCCCAGGAUGCUUAGAUACUUGAUGAAACA
rnacentral:lncRNA from 1 species